rnacentral:lncRNA from 1 species
ACCCCAAUUUGGACCAACUUGAAAACUGGGCCAAUAAUCAAAAAUCUAAGUACAUGUUUAGAUUCAGCAUAUCAAAGAACCCCAAGAAUUCAAUUUUUGUUAAAAUCAAACUUAGUUUAAUUUUGGACCCUUUGGACCUUAAUGUAGACCAAUUUGAAAAUGGGACCAAAAAUUAAGAAUCUACAUACACAGUUAGAUUCGGCAUAUCAAAGAACCCCAAUUAUUCA